rnacentral:rRNA from 1 species
UGGGGAAUUUUGCACAAUGGGGGAAACCCUGAUGCAGCGACGCCGCGUGAUUUAGAAGGCCUUCGGGUUGUAAAAAUCUUUUGUAUAGGAAGAAAAUGACAGUACUAUACGAAUAAGGACCGGCUAAUUACGUGCCAGCAGCCGCGGUAAUACGUAAGGUCCGAGCGUUGUCCGGAAUCAUUGGGCGUAAAGGGUACGUAGGCGGGUAAGCAAGUUAGAAGUGAAAUCCUAUAGCUCAACUAUAGUAAGCUUUUAAAACUGCUCAUCUUGAGGUAUGGAAGGGAAAGUGGAAUUCCUAGUGUAGCGGUGAAAUGCGCAGAUAUUAGGAGGAAUACCGGUGGCGAAGGCUACUUUCUGGCCAUAACCUGACGCUGAGGUACGAAAGCGUGGGUAGCAAACAGG